rnacentral:misc_RNA from 1 species
UGAAAGCACGCCAUCAGAGUUGAGUAAUCAUAUCAAAUUGUUCUCUCAUUAACAAAUGAUUAUUUACAAUUUCUGAAUGAUGGAAUUGGGACCCUACAGACACUGGGUCUUAUAUGAAAAUGAUAUUGUUUAAUAAUUACAAAUAUUCAUUAGAAAUUAUACUAGAGUCUAGAAAUGUAAAAGCUCAACCAGCUAGCUUACCUAAUAGAUCACUUCCUAAUCAAACUGCCCUCUCAAAACAUACAUAUAGGCAUGCUAAGUACAAUUUUGUAUCGUAAGUUGCUGCUACAAUAAGAUAUCAAUAUGUUAGUAGCCACAACAUUGCUCCCUACUUACAAAGUUAACAGAUUCAUAUGGAGAAGUAAAUUGUAAACCAAUAUGUUAAGGGUAGUCUACAAUCCAGUUUCAGAGUUCUUGUUCACUACAAUACCCAGAGGUUUUUGCACCUAGAUCAAGGAGUAAGAAAACAAAAUAGAUAGGGAUACCAUAAUUUUUUGACUCUACUGCCAAUUUCUACCAUUUAGCUUUUU